rnacentral:sRNA from 1 species
CGGGUCUCUCGCGCGAGCGAUUUUAGUCUGAGGCGAAGCUUCGGAGCGGCCGGUACUGUUGAGAGCGACAAGUGGAGGCGCCGCUCUAGCGGCCGGGACUCUGAACUAUGGCGCCCAGAGCACAUGUGAGGAGAGGCAGACCAUAUUUUGCAGCAGCACUGUGCCAAGGGGCUGUUUUCAUUAAAGAGGGUUAAUGACAUUAAGAUGAGGUUCUCACUUAGGCUAGUGAUACAGAACGAGAUGGACUAGCCCCAGAAAAGACAUCACCAGAUAGAGAUAAGAAAAAAGAGCAGUCAGAUGUAUCUGUUUCUCCUAGAGCUUCAAAACAUCAUUAUUCAAGAUCACGAUCAAGGUCAAGAGAAAGAAAACGAAAGUCAGAUAAUGAAGGAAGAAAACACAGGAGCCGGAGCAGAAGCAAAGAGCGUGCUUAUGCGCGAAGAGACUGAACUGAAGACGCUGCAGACUCAGAUAGCAAAAUAAUAAGCCUACUUCAUGAUAAGAACCAACUUCUUCUUAAAACAGGCAAGAAGACAUGAAUCCAAAGAUAAAUCCUCUAAGAAACAUAAGUCUGAGGAACAUAAUGACAAAGAACAUUCUUCUGAUAAAGGAAGAGAGCGACUAAAUUCAUCUGAAAAUGGUGAGGACAGGCACAAACGCAAAGAAAGAAAGUCAUCAAGAGGCAGAAGUCACUCAAGAUCUAGGUCUCGUGAAA